rnacentral:snRNA from 1 species
AUCGCUUCUCAGCCUUUUGGCUAAGAUCAAGUGUAGUAUCUGUUCUUAUCAGUUUAAUAUGACCUAUGAUUUUUGACAAGAGUGCCAAAACUAUCCCAUGGGGAAAGAUUAGGCUUUUCAAUAAAUAGUAGUGGAUGGCCAUAU